GCUGAGGAGUCCCAUAAUAGGACGAAACGGCCUUCC
rnacentral:hammerhead_ribozyme from 1 species